rnacentral:rRNA from 1 species
UACGGAGGGUGCAAGCGUUGCUCGGAAUUAUUGGGCGUAAAGGGCAAGUAGGUGGUCUCAUUUGUCUGGGGUGAAAGCCUUGAGCUUAACUCAAGAAGUGCCCCAGAAACGGUGAGACUCGAGUCCUGGAGAGGGUCGUGGAAUUCCCGGUGUAGCGGUGAAAUGCGUAGAGAUCGGGAGGAACACCAGAGGCGAAGGCGGCGACCUGGACAGGUACUGACACUCAAUUGCGAAAGCGUGGGGAGCAAACAGG